rnacentral:rRNA from 1 species
UACGUAGGGGGCUAGCGUUGUCCGGAAUCAUUGGGCGUAAAGAGCGUGUAGGCGGUCCGGUAAGUCCGCUGUGAAAGUCGGGGGCUCAACCCUCGAAUGCCGGUGGAUACUGUCGGGCUAGAGUGCGGAAGAGGCGAGUGGAAUUCCUGGUGUAGCGGUGAAAUGCGUAGAUAUCUGGAGGAACACCGGUGGCGAAGGCGGCAUCCUGGACCGGUAUUGACGCUGAUGCGCGAAAGCCAGGGGAGCAAACGGG